ACUUCGGUCCACUGAAGGCCCCUCGGAGACUACGAGGUUGAUAGGCGGGAGGUGAAUGCUGACCCGUACUAAUCGGCCGUGAGGCUUGACCGUAU
rnacentral:rRNA from 1 species